ensembl:lincRNA
AUGUGCCUAACACUUGGUGCUGAAACCCGGGAUGGAGGAACUCCUACGGGAGACCAAACUGCCUGCCCCUGCUCUUUUUGUGCUCCCUCUGUGAAGAUACCUACCUACAAUCUAGGUUCAUCAGACCAGCCCACAGACCCACUUACCAUCCUCAAAUCAGCAGAGACAAGAAAGACAGGACUUUCCGUGAAGUUCAUAACUUCAAGCCUGCCUGGGUCACAGAACCAGGAAGGCAGUCUUCCCUCAGUGACUGAUCAUUGUGGAGACGUCUGUUGUGGUCAUUCACUCCCACUCGUAUGUGAUGGAUCAACACGGGAGACUCCCCCUUUGACCAAUUCAUCCCAGAAGAUGGAAAUGUCAGGCCUCCGAGUCCAAGUCUGGCCAUUAUAGCCUUGGUGAGUCACACGUACACUCCUAGAUGGUCUCCAGGAGCCAGAAAGUCUGAAGUAAUGGAAUGGCCACAAAGAGAAGUCAAACAACUAGUUCCUGCCUUAACCGAUUGCUCUCGUCCUGCAACCUUCAACCAUUGCUCAGCCUUGAGAAAAUUUCCCACCCUAGACUUUAGGUUUCUCAAGAUCCUCACCCCGUAACUGUGUAAUUUACAGCACUCUCCCCUUUGCUUGCAACCGAUACCCCCACCCUUAUGAUCAUGCCUGUUUGUAAUAGAUGACCCCUACCCUUAUGACCAUGCAUCCCAUGACGCUGUUCCCCUCCCUAAAAUAGAUUACCACCUUUAAGUAACCAUUUGCCCCAACCCAUACAACCAGUCCCCUUUCCUUCUCCCCUUGUCUAACUCCUCUUUUGGACUUGGCCCGCUUAUACCAAAGCAUGAAAUAAAAUGGCCUUGUUGCCCACACGAAGCCUGCCUGGUAGUCUCUUUAUGUGAGCGACGUGCCUAACACCCUAGAGCCUCUGGAGAAGGUUGGCUGCCAACACCAUGAUCUUGACCCAGAGAAACUGACUCUAAACUUCAGGCCUCCAGAACUACGCAUUUCUGUUGUCUUAAGUCACCAAAUUUUUGGGAAUUUGUUACAGCAGCUCUAAAACAUAUACAAAAAGUACUCAACGAAAACCCAGACUAAAGAUGCAAUAGUUAUUUGCAAUUCCUUGCUCAACUUUGAAAAGCUACACAUAAAUGGAUUGGUGGAGGAGUUUAUGGUGGAAAGAAAUGCACGUGAAACCUAUAGCCCCUAGUGACGAACUUCUGUGUAAUGAAUAAGGAUGAAUUUUAGUUGAAUAUGAAACCUGGCAAGUAAUAUCUUACACAGCCUCUUCAUUCUAGGAUAUUCAGAGGUACAUAAAACAGAGCACUGAGUAUUCCUUGAAAAAAAAAAAAAAAGAAACAAAAAGAAACAUUGGCCAGGCGUGGUAGCUCACACCUGUAAUCCCAGCACUUUGGGAGGCUGAGGCAGGCAGAUCACAAGGACAACAGACGGAGACCAUCCUGGCCAACGUGAUGAAACCCUGUCUCUACUAAAAAUACAAAAUUCAGCUGCGCAUGGUGGUACGUGUCUGUAGUCCCAGCUACUCGGGAGGCGGAGGCAGGAAAAUCACUUGAAUCCAGGAGGCGGAGGUUGCAGUGAGCCGAGAUUGUGCCACUGUACUCCAGCCUGGUGACAGAGAAGGCUCCAUCUUAAAAAGAAUAAAUAAAUAAACAAACAAAUAACAUUUAAAUUUAAAUUUUAAAAAAGUUGCAUUUAAUGGCACAUCCUCUGGAUCAACCCUCAGCACAUCUCUUGCUAUCUGUAGUGUUCCAUUUCACAGAUGAGAAGAUCAUUCAUCAGAGGACAGGGGUGGUUUUUCCAAAGUCAUGUGGUCAGCAAGUGCUGGGACUGGGAUUUAGAUUCAGGUAUGUCUGACAUUAAGUCUGUUCUUUCCAUGUGGACAAGUCCAGCCCACAGAUGAUCCCACUGUCUAUAAAAUGGGAGAAGAGACAAAACCAUAAUGCUGUGAAAUUCAUAGAUCCCUUUUGCCUCUACCCCAUACCAUGUGAACCCUAACAUUAAACUCAGCCCCUUCUGCAGUUUCUUCUACAAAAUGGAACUUUCUUUAAGCCUUUACAAACUCUGAACAUCUUUAUUUCAGACUUGGGGGAAGGAGCACAUCUUGCCUUGCUGUAACCCCUUCCUCCUCUCUUCUAUCCAUUUCCAUCUCUGGCCCUGUCCCUCCCACUCAGAUUGUGUCCUGCAAAUCUAAUUUGUCCCCCUAUUAGGCAACCUUAACCUCCUCUUGGGUGCAGUGGGGUCUAACCCCCCAGCUCUCACAUACCCAGAAUGUACAAAAGUUAAUUAAGGGGUUUACCCAGAAGAUUUCCUCCCUAAGAGGAAUUCUGGUGCUAGCUCUCCUCAUGAGAGCUGGGGAGCCGAGGUAUGUAAACACCUCCCUUGUCACCACUGAUUGAGGGCUAUCCGAUGGGAUGCUUAUUCCAGGCCCUGAAGUCUCCAUCUUUUGUCAAAAUUGACACCAAAUGCUGACAAGUUGGAAAGAGUUGGGAGAUCAGAGAGAAACCAUCCCCUUCAGAGAGGCAAAUGCCAUUCUCUCCCUGUGUAUGAGUUUCCUGUAGCUGCUGUAAUAAAUCACCACGUCCUUACUGUCUUCAAACAGCAUCAAUUUAUUCCCUUGCCAUUCUGGAAGGGAGAAAUCUCACACAGGUCUCACUGGGCUAAAAUAAACUUCCCUGUGAACACCAGUGGGAAGAGAUUGUUUUCUUCCCUUCUCCAUCUUUUAGACGCUGCUGUCUCUCCUUGGCCAUGGUCUUUCCCUCACAUCACUCAGCCUCUCCCUUCGUAGUCACAUCUACUCCCCAAAUCUGACCCUUCUGCUUCCCUCUUAUAAGGACAGUUAUGAUUACACAGGGCCUACAAUAUAGUCCAAGAUAGUCUUCCCAUCUCAAGAGUCUUCAUCACAUUUGCCAAUUUCCUUUUGCCAUAUAAUUUCACAUUCAUGGGUUACAGAGAUUAGGGCAUAAACGUCUUCUGGGUAGUAGGAGAGGAUGCAUUAUUUGACCUACCAAACUCCCUUAGGAUCCCCAACUGUCCUCCCCUAAGGAAGAAGAAUCCAAAGUCACAUGGCUGGGAGAAGGACAGAAUAGGGAGCAGCCAGUAGCUUUAUAAAACAAGAGAGCUGGAGGAAUCUGAGUCAGGGUCCUCUGGUCUGGGGGUUUCCUGGAAUGGACAAUUCUCUGCUACUGCUGCUCUAAUGUGGACAUCAGAGUGCAGAGCUUUUUGUUAGAGACUCCUCUAACUUUGUGACCCAGAAGAAAGGAAUCACUACUUAAUUGCAAUCUAUGAGAGACUGGUAAAGGAAAAUUAAAUGGUUUCUUAACUUCCAAAUUUCUCUACCCAUCAUAAGAGGAGAAUUGGCAAGAAUUUAGAGGAAACAUACCUCCACAAAUGAGAAUUUGGAUUUGCCUAUAGUCUUAGGUUGGGUUUCUGAUAAUGAGAACUUUUAUGCAAGCGCCACAUUUACAAGCUGCAGAAACCCCUGAGAGAGAAGGAGAAAAGUGAGACAGGGAAAAGGAAAUGAACAGUGAAAGGCACAUCAGCAAGCAGCUACUCAUAAGGACGACUGAAGCUCAAGCCCACGUGGAAACACGGGAAAAUGCCUCUGGGUUGUCGCACCUGAGAGGUGGGGGAGCUGGGGCAUGUAAACACCUCCCUUGUCACCACUGAUUGAGGGCUAUCCGAUGGGAUGCUUAUUCCAGGCCCUGAAGUCUGCCGUGUGUGCAGGCAGAGCUCCUUUUCCAGCUUCAGAAAGAGCAGCGAGGGGUAGAUAUGGCCUUCAGGAGUCAGCAGAAAUGCAGUGAAUGGGAAAGGCCAAGGGUAAAGACAAGGGCUGCUACAUCCACAUAGAAAAGGUGCGUAUGUUAAAUCUGGAGGGCUCACAUGUCCUACUUCUCUCUGGAAUAGGAUCCUGGCUGGUCAGGUACAAGCAGAUGCCCUAGAAAAUCAAGCCCUAUGACAGGCAGCAGGAGUUUUGUGCACAGGUUGCACCACUGUGGCUUGGCCACCCGUAGUCAUGCAUGCAGUAAUACUCCCCAGAGUCUCCAGGCUGCAGGACACUGAUGCUGAAGACAUAGCUGGUUCCACUUCCCCUGCCGCUGUAUCGAGCUGGGACACCUGGGGCCAAGGUAGUGACAUGAGAUAUAAGGGGCUCAAAUCUUUGUCCAAGUUUUAUUCGGAUCCAAGAUAUUUCACCAUGUACAUCUUCACUGGCUUGGCAGGAGAUGGAGACAGUCUCUCCCUGAGAUGCAGACAGGGAUGCUGGCGUCUGGGUGAGGAUGAUGUCUCCAUUUACUGCCAAAGAGUAAAAGAAGAAAGUGACAUUGAUGGUGUACAGCAGAAACAUGCACCAGGCAGCAGUUGCCCUCACUUACAAGAGACGGUUCACUGACUUGGCCCUGGCCUUUCCCAGGGCCUUCGCCUUACCUGCCUUCCAGAAAGCUAGGCUCCAGAGGAGCUGCACCUGAGCUCCCAAGAACAUGCUGGUGGGCAG